CUACGGGGCGCACCAGUGGGGAAUAUUGGACAAUGGGGAAACCCUGAUCCAGCAAUGCCGCGUGUGUGAAGAAGGCCUGCGGGUUGUAAAGCACUUUCGGUUGGGAGGACUGCUUCUAGCACUAAUAUUGUUGGAAGUUGACGUUACCUUCAGAAGAAGCACCGGCUAACUCCGUGCCAGCAGCCGCGGUAAUACGGAGGGUGCAAGCGGUAAUCGGAAUUACUGGGCGUAAAGCGCGCGUAGGCGGCUAGAUCAGUCGGGUGUGAAAGCCCCGGGCUUAACCUGGGAACUGCAUCCGAUACUGUCUAGCUUGAGUACAGGAGAGGAGAGUGGAAUUCCACAUGUAGCGGUGAUAUGCGUAGAUAUGUGGAGGAACACCAAUGGCGAAGGCAGCUCUCUGGCCUGAUACUGACGCUGAGGUGCGAAAGCGUGGGGAGCAAACAGGAUUAGAUACCCUCGUAGUC
rnacentral:rRNA from 1 species